AGCUUAGUAGUUAAAGUGGAUAUAACAAAGCUCUUCUAAAGCUUAAUUACAGGUUCGAGUCCUGUCUGAGCUA
rnacentral:tRNA from 1 species